rnacentral:rRNA from 1 species
UAGGGAAUCUUCCACAAUGGACGCAAGUCUGAUGGAGCAACGCCGCGUGAGUGAAGAAGGUCUUCGGAUCGUAAAAGCUCUGUUGUUGGUGAAGAAGGAUAGAGGCAGUAACUGGUCUUUAUUUGACGGUAAUCAACCAGAAAGUCACGGCUAACUACGUGCCAGCAGCCGCGGUAAUACGUAGGUGGCAAGCGUUGUCCGGAUUUAUUGGGCGUAAAGCGAGCGCAGGCGGAAAUGAUAAAGUCUGAUGUGA